GUGUGUGUGUGUGUGUGUGUGUGUGUGUGUGUGUGUGUGUGUGUGUGUGUGUGUGUGUGUGUGGGGUUGUCAUUUGGUCAGUGCUUUGAUAGCUGGUGGACGAGGAGGAGAGCUCACCAUGAGUCCAGACAGGAGAAGUGAGAGGGGCCAGCUGCUGUCAUAUACACAAACCACAUGCAGCUGUUCAGCGUCUGCCUGAGAGCUGCCUGGACAAGCCAAUCAGCCACAUACCUUGGAGCCAGUGUUUCCGGAGGAUGGGAGAGGACAAUCACCACAGCAACAUUACAUAGGGAUUACAUCAUUUCUAAUGGGACUGUUCUUUUGUUAGAUCUUCACAUACUUUGGCAGAUGUUGUGUGUAUGUGUUUUCACUCAUAUCCAGUGUCUUCAAAAAUUACCUCUGUGUUGAAUGUACAACCACUAAAGCUCAAGUUACUACCA